CUCCCGCCCCACACCGGGAACCGGCUGUGCCCGGGCAGGAUCCUGGCGGGGGCACCACCAGUGCCCUGUGCUCCCGCCUCACAGCACCGCGCCUGGUCACGGCUUGGCCACGCCACGCUCAGGUUUAUCCACAUCAGGGUGCGAGGUUCUCCUUCCCUCUCUGUCCUAUAACAUCGAAUAGAGAAAAGCUGGAAGUGUUCACUUCAUCCACUUCACUGCCAGCUCCCAAUUUCUGUGAGAAUCUGAGUAAGUGGAAAAGGAGGAUAGAUUUUGUCUGAAGAUAAUUUCGAAUGUGUCUUUCAUAUAACAAAUGAAUGACCUCUGUACACACCUGUAUAAAUCACACACGUGUCUAGGAAAAACACACAGAAAAAACAGACUUCUAAAUUUAUCAUCCUUUUCCUGUUCUUCUCCAUUUACCAGACAAUAGAAAUAAUAACAGAGCUAUACCUACGGAUCAAACAAUGUCACAAGUUAUAUCCUCGCCAAAUCUACAGUUUCACAGGCUCAGGGUGCUGUGGGGAUAAUCACAAAAUUGACAGGAAUUGUGCAGUAAUUUGGAAUACAUUAAUAUUGGAAUAUGUAAUAUGGAAUUCUAACAAUUUACAUAGAACAUUUAAAUUUUUCCUUGACAGUAAAACACAGACACGAUUUCUUUCCUUCCACUUCAAGGCUGAAAACUGACAGGAGCAAUGUCUUCACUUACAGAAAACUGAGUCUCAAUGAAGAAUGAUAUCAGCUAAAAAUCAUAAAAACAGAAUCCAGAGUAUCUGAUCAGCACAACACAGACACAGCUGGAAAGUGCAACAUGCCUUUGGUUUCCUCAGCUCCGGAAGCACUUUUGGAAUGGCUGGAGCCACAGAGGACCUGGGGAUAAGGAUGUUAUUUGAACAGGUGAACAUCCCAUUACAGCUGGAAAAGGCCAUGAACUAAAGCUGGGCUCAUUCUGGCAGAUCCAUGAAUUUUACAGCCAUUCUGUGAUGUCAAGAAAUUGGGAGGAAUCCCCCAUUAGGCAAAGCUUCAGUGAACUCCUGAAGCCCCUCAGAUUCAGAUUUACAUCAUAAGGAACAACUGAGAAAGAGCUGGCAAACCAAGGGGCAGCUCCAACACAAGCUGCCCCCUUCCAGAGUCCAUCCAUCCAUCUCUCCAUCAGCACCACCACAGCCCCGGAGGCUGGGGCUGCCCAGGGGACACGGCUGCACCAAGCAGAUGUAAAGGUAAUGUUCUGUACAUUUUAUUUCAAUAAAGACAUAAGACAAACAGCGUAAAGAUGCCCAGAUGCCCUAAAGAUAAAUACAUUUAAAAGAUUCUCAUUAAAA